rnacentral:rRNA from 1 species
GACGAACGCUGGCGGCGUGCUUAACACAUGCAAGUCGUACGGUAAGGCCCUUUCGGGGGUACACGAGUGGCGAACGGGUGAGUAACACGUGAGUAACCUGCCCACAACUUUGGGAUAACGCUAGGAAACUGGUGCUAAUACUGGAUAUGUGCUCCUGCUGCAUGGUGGGGGUUGGAAAGCUCCGGCGGUUGUGGAUGGACUCGCGGCCUAUCAGCUUGUUGGUGGGGUAGUGGCCUACCAAGGCGGCGACGGGUAGCCGGCCUGAGAGGGUGACCGGCCACAUUGGGACUGAGAGACGGCCCAGACUCCGACGGGAGGCAGCAGUGGGGAAUAUUGCACAAUGGGCGCAAGCCUGAUGCAGCAACGCCGCGUGCGGGAUGACGGCCUUCGGGUUGUAAACCGCUUUCAGCAGGGACGAAGCUUUUUGUGACGGUACCUGCAGAAGAAGCACCGGCUAACUACGUG